rnacentral:rRNA from 1 species
AGUGAACGCUGGCGGUAGGCCUAACACAUGCAAGUCGAACGGCAGCACAGUAAGAGCUUGCUCUUACGGGUGGCGAGUGGCGGACGGGGGAGGAAUACAUCGGAGUCUACUUUUUCGUGGGGGAUAACGUAGGGAAACUUACGCUAAUACCGCAUACGACCUACGGGUGAAAGCAGGGGAUCUUCGGACCUUGCGCGAUUGAAUGAGCCGAUGUCGGAUUAGCUAGUUGGCGGGGUAAAGGCCCACCAAGGCGACGAUCCGUAGCUGGUCUGAGAGGAUGAUCAGCCACACUGGAACUGAGACACGGUCCAGACUCCUACGGGAGGCAGCAGUGGGGAAUAUUGGACAAUGGGCGCAAGCCUGAUCCAGCCAUACCGCGUGGGUGAAGAAGGCCUUCGGGUUGUAAAGCCCUUUUGUUGGGAAAGAAAAGCAGCAGGUUAAUACCCCGCUGUUCUGACGGUACCCAAAGAAUAAGCACCGGCUAACUUCGUG